rnacentral:misc_RNA from 1 species
GAUGAAGAACGUAGCGAAAUGCGAUACUUGGUGUGAAUUGCAGAAUCCCGUGAACCAUCGAGUCUUUGAACGCAAGUUGCGCCCGAAGCCAUCAGGUUGAGGGCACGUCUGCCUGGGCGUCACAUAUCGUUGCCCAAUGCCUAUUGCAGUGCAAUAGGAAUUUCUAGGGCGAAUGAUGGCUUCCCGUGAGCGUUGUUGCCUCGCGGUUGGUUGAAAAUCGAGUCCUUGGUAGGGUGUGCCAUGGUAGAUGGUGGUCGAGUUAGAACGAUACCGAUCAUGUGCAUGCUCCCCAAAAUAUGGCCUCUAUGACCCACACGCGUCUUUUGACGCUCAUGACGAGGCCUCAGGUCAGGCGGGGCUACCCGCUGAAUUUAAGCAUAUCAAUAAGCGGAGGA